UUUGUUGCUUCGUGGUGCACAAGCGCUGCCAUGAAUUCGUCACUUUCACCUGCCCUGGUGCGGACAAGGGCCCCGCUUCGGACGACCCUCGGAGCAAACACAAGUUCAAAAUCCACACGUAUUCCAGUCCCACCUUCUGUGACCAUUGCGGGUCUCUGCUCUACGGACUCAUCCACCAAGGGAUGAAGUGCGACACCUGCAUGAUGAAUGUGCACAAGCGCUGCGUGAUGAACGUCCCCAGCCUCUGUGGGACCGACCACACCGAGCGCCGGGGCCGGAUACACAUCAAGGCCGACAUCGAGAAUGAAGUCCUCACCGUCAUAGUACGAGAUGCAAGAAACCUCGUCCCCAUGGACCCCAACGGCUUGUCGGACCCCUACGUCAAGCUCAAGCUUAUCCCGGACCCCAAAAGUGAGAGCAAGCAGAAGACCAAGACCAUCAAAUGCUCCUUGAACCCCGAGUGGAACGAGACCUUUAAGUUCCAGCUGAAAGAGACAGACAAGGACCGGCGUUUGUCGGUGGAGAUCUGGGAUUGGGACCUGACCAGCAGGAAUGACUUCAUGGGGUCACUCUCCUUUGGGAUUUCGGAGCUGCAGAAGGCCGGAGUGGACGGCUGGUUUAAGCUCUUGAGCCAGGAAGAGGGCGAGUACUUCAAUGUCCCCGUCCCCCCAGAAGGCGAGGAAGGCAACGAAGAGCUUCGGCAGAAGUUUGAGAGAGCCAGGUUUGGCCCCGGAGCAAAGGCCUCGGAGGAGCGGACCCUGAACGCCAUCUCCAAAUUCGACAACAACAAUGGUGCCCGCGACCGCAUGAAGCUCUCCGACUUCAACUUUCUGAUGGUCCUGGGCAAAGGCAGCUUCGGAAAGGUGAUGCUCUCGGAGAGGAAAGGCACAGACGAGCUCUACGCCGUGAAGAUCCUCAAGAAGGACGUGGUCAUCCAGGACGAUGACGUGGAGUGCACCAUGGUGGAGAAGCGGGUCCUGGCACUAGCCGGAAAGCCCCCCUUCCUGACCCAGCUCCACUCCUGCUUCCAGACCAUGGACCGCUUGUAUUUUGUGAUGGAGUAUGUGAAUGGCGGGGACCUCAUGUACCAGAUCCAGCAGGUUGGGCGGUUCAAGGAGCCCCAUGCCGUGUUCUACGCCGCGGAGAUUGCCUUUGGGCUGUUCUUCUUGCACAGCAAAGGAAUAAUUUAUCGCGACCUGAAGCUGGACAACGUGAUGCUGGACUCCGAAGGGCACAUCAAGAUCGCCGACUUUGGCAUGUGCAAGGAGAACAUCUGGGACGGGGUCACCACCAAGACCUUCUGCGGAACUCCGGACUACAUUGCACCCGAGAUAAUCGCUUAUCAGCCCUAUGGGAAAUCAGUGGAUUGGUGGGCUUUUGGCGUCCUGCUUUACGAAAUGCUGGCCGGGCAGGCCCCCUUUGAAGGCGAGGAUGAAGACGAACUCUUCCAGUCCAUCAUGGAGCACAACGUGGCGUACCCCAAAUCCAUGAGCAAGGAAGCGGUGGCCAUCUGCAAAGGGCUGAUGACGAAGCAUCCGGCCAAGCGCUUGGGCUGCGGCCCCGAAGGAGAGCGGGACAUCAAGGAGCACGCCUUCUUCCGCUACAUCGACUGGGACAAGCUCGAGCGGAAGGAGAUCCAGCCCCCGUUCAAGCCCAAAGCUUGCGGACGCAGCGCCGAAAACUUCGACCGGUUUUUCACCCGCCACCCGCCCGUCUUAACGCCACCCGACCAGGAAGUCAUCCGGAACAUUGACCAGGCAGAAUUCGAAGGAUUUUCCUUUGUUAACUCUGAGUUUUUUAAGCCUGAAGUCAAGAGCUAAGUAGCCCUCGUCCGUCCGUCCGUCCGUUGCAGUCGCAAACCACCCUCCAUUGCUCCUCCUCCUGCUCAUCCCUCAUGGCAAUAUCCAUCCCUAGCUUUGGGGUUUCUUUUUGUGUGAGGCCAGAAUGACCAUCUCCAAGGUCCAAGGGGUCAAGGGCGUUUAGGUCCAAGUUAUGUGUCCAAAGGUGAUCCUUUUGUGGCGAUACUAGAAUGACCAUCUCUCCAAGGUCCAAGGGGUCAUUUAGGUCCAAGUUAUGUGUUCAAAGGUGAUCCUUUUGUGGUGAUACCAGAAUGACCAUCUCUCCAAGGUCCAAGGGGGCGUUUGGGUCCAAGUUAUGAUUCCAAAGGUGAUCCUUUUGUGGUGAUACCAGAAUGACCAUUUCUCCAAGGUCCAAAAGGUGACAUUUGUAUCAGGUCUUAGUGUCCCAAUUUUUGGGUCCAAAGAUGCUUUUUUGUGAUGAUACUAGAAUGGCCAUUCUCACAGGGUCCAAAGGGUCAAGGGGAGCAUUUAGGUCUUAAGUUAUGGGUCCAAAUGUGAUACUUUUGUGACAAAACAAGAAUAUCUAUCUCUCCAAUAUCCAAGUGGUCAAGGGAGGCAUUUAGACCCAAGUUAUGAGUCCAAAGGUGAUCCUUUUGUAGCGAUAUCAGGAUGACCAUCUCUCCAAGGUCCAAAGGGUCAUAGAUGACAUCUGCAUCAGGUCCACGUGUCCAACUUUUGGGUCCAAAGAUGCUUUCUUUGUGGUGAUACUAGAAUGACCAUUUCUCACAGGGUCCAAGGGGUUACGUUAUGGGUCCAAAUGGGAUACUUUUGUGACAAAACCAGAAUGACCAUCUCUCCAAGGUCCAAGGGGUCAUUGAUGACACUCAUCAGGUCCAAGUGUCCAACUUAUGGGUCCAAAGAUGUUCCCUUUCUCUGGUGGCAUCCAUAGGUUUGACUCUGUAACCAAAAUGUCCAAAGGGUCACGGGGCACAUUGCAUCAGUGUCACGUAUGGAACAAGUGUCCAAGUUAUGGGUCCAAAGGUGAUCCUUUUGUGGUGACACCAGGAUGACUGUGCCCAUGGUCCAAAGGGUCAUAGAUGACAUUUGCAUCACCAAAUGUCCAACAUAUGGGUCCAGAGAUGCUCCUUUUCUUUGGAGGCAUCCAUAGAUUUAACUUGCUAACCCUUCAUGUUGCCCUUUUGCAGCGAUACUAAAAUGAUCGUCUCUCCUGAGGUCCAAAGGGUCAUGGGAGACAUUCAGGUCCAAGUUAUGGGCCCAAAGAUGUUCCUUUUGUGGCGAUACCAGACUGGCCAUCUCUCCAAGGGUCAUAUCUCCAAGGGAGGCAUUUGCAUCAGGAUCAUACAUGGGAAAAGUGUCCAGUUUAUGGAUCUAAAGAUGGAUAUGAGAGCCAUAUUUCAAAGGGACAUGAGAGCCAUAUUUAAGCAUUCGAAAGCAUGUCCUAUUGAAGACAAAGGCAAGCAAAGGAUCCAAAUGGAAAGAAAAGAGAUUCUACCUAAACAUUAGGAAGAACUUCCUGGUGAUGAGAUCUGUUUGACACUGAGAUAUAUAUAUAUAUAUAUAUAUAUAUAUAUAUAUAUAUAUAUAUAUAUAAUGGAGUCUCCUUGUUUGGAAGAUGUCAACCAAAAGCUAGAUGGCCAUCUGUCAGGAGAGCUUGGAUAGUGUCUUCCUGCUUGGCGGAAUAGGGUUGGACUGGAUGGCCUUUGGAGUUCUGUCCAGGAAUCUAUAAUUCACUCUCUCUCUCUCUCUCUCCCUCCCUCCCUCCCUCCCUCUCUCUCUAGGGGUUUCUAAGCAAAAGCUGGAUGGCCAUCUGUUGGGAGGGCUUUGAUUGUGUCCUCCUAUGUGGCAGGAAGGGGUUUGACUGGAUGGCCUUUGGGGUCCCUUCCAGGAAUCUAUGAUUCUAUCUAUCCGUCUCUCUCUCUCUCUGGAGGUUUCUAAGCAGAAGCUGAGUGGUCAUCUGUUGGGAGGGAUCGGAUGGUGUCUUCCUGCCUGGCGGAAUGGGGUUGGACUGGAUGCCCUCUGAAGGUCCCAGGAAUUUGUGAUUCUCUCUCUCUCUCUAUCAUAUCUCUUUCUCUGGAGGUUUCCAAGAAGAAGCUGGAUGGCCAUCUGUUGGGAGGGAUCAAGCAGUGUAUUCCUUCUUGAAGGAAUGGGGUUGGACUGGAUGCCCUCUGAGGAUCCCUUUGAGGAAUCUAUGAUUCUAUCUCUAUCAUAUCUCUUUCUCUGGAGGUCUCCAAGCAGAAGCUGGAUGGCUAUCCGUUGGGAGGGAUCAGGCAGUGUCAUCUUGCCUUGCAGAAUGGGGUUGGACUGGAUGCCUUCUGAGGAUCCCUUUGAGGAAUCUAUGAUUCUAUCUCUAUCAUAUCUCUUUCUCUGGAGGUUUCCAAGCAGAAGCUGGAUGGCCAUCUGUUGGGAGGGAUCAAGCAGUGUCUUCCUUCUUGGGGGAAUGGGGUUGGACUGGAUGCCCUCUGAGGAUCCCUUUGAGGAAUCUAUGACUCUAUCUCUAUCAUAUCUCUUUCUCUGGAGGUUUCCAAGCAGAAGCUGGAUGGCCAUCUGUUGGGAGGGAUCAGGCGGUGUCAUCUUGCCUUGCAGAAUGGGGUUGGACUGGAUGCCCUCUGAGGAUCCCUUUGAGGAAUCUAUGAUUCUAUCUCUAUCAUAUCUCUUUCUCUGGAGGUUUCCAAGCAGAAGCUGGAUGGCCAUCUGUUGGGAGGGAUCAAGCAGUGUCUUCCUUCUUGAGGGAAUGGGGUUAGACUGGAUGCCUUCUGAGGAUCCCUAUGAGGAAUCUAUGAUUCUAUCUCUAUCAUAUCUCUUUCUCUGGAGGUUUCCAAGCAGAAGCUGGAUGGCCAUCUGUUGGGAGGGAUCAAGCAGUGUCUUCCUUCUUGGGGGAAUGGGGUUGGACUGGAUGCCUUCUGAGGAUCCCUUUGAGGAAUCUAUGAUUCUAUCUCUAUCAUAUCUCUUUCUCUGGAGGUUUCCCAGCAGAAGCUGGAUGGCCAUCUGUUGGGAGGGAUCAAGCAGUGUCUUCCUUCUUGGGGGAAUGGGGUUAGACUGGAUGCCUUCUGAGGAUCCCUUUGAGGAAUCUAUGAUUCUAUCUCUAUCAUAUCUCUUUCUCUGGAGGUUUCCAAGCAGAAGCUGGAUGGCCAUCUGUUGGGAGGGAUCAAGCAGUGUCUUCCUUCUUGGGGGAAUGGGGUUAGACUGGAUGCCUUCUGAGGAUCCCUUUGAGGAAUCUAUGAUUCUAUCUCUAUUAUAUCUCUUUCUCUGGAGGUUUCCAAGCAGAAGCUGGAUGGCCAUCUGUUGGGAGGGAUCAGGCGGUGUCAUCUUGCUUUGCAGAAUGGGGUUGGACUAGAUGCCCUCUGAGGAUCCCUUCCAGGAAUCUAUGAUUCUAUCUAUUUAUCUCUUUCUAUAUCUUUUUCUGGAGGUUUCAAAGCAGAAGCUGGAUGGCCAUCUGUUGGGAGGGAUCAAGCAGUGUCUUCCUUCUUGAGGGAAUGGGGUUGGACUGGAUGCCUUCUGAGGAUCCCUUUGAGGAAUCUGUGAUUCUAUCUCUAUCAUAUCUCUUUCUCUGGAGGUUUCCAAGCAGAUGCUGGAUGGCCAUCUGUUGGGAGGGAUCACGUAGUGUCUUCCUCCUUGGGGGAAUGGGGUUGGACUGGAUGCCCUCUGAGGAUCCCUUCCUGAAAUCUAUAAUUUUAUCUCUCUCUUUCUCUGGAGGUUUCCAAGCAGAAGCUGGAUGGCCAUCUGUUGGGAGGGAUCGGAUGUUGUCAUCCUGCCUGGCGGAAUGGGGUUGGACUGGAUGCCUUCUGAAGGUCCCCCAGGCAGAAGCUAUAUGGCUAUCUGUUGGGAGGGAUCGGAUGGUGUCAUCCUGCCUGGCGGAAUGGGGUUGGACUGGAUGCCUUCUGAAGGUCCCCCAGGCAGAAGCUAUAUGGCUAUCUGUUGGGAGGGAUUGGAUGGUGUCAUCCUGCCUGGCGGAAUGGGGUUGGACUAGAUGACUUCUGAAGGUCCCCCAGGCAGAAGCUGGAUGGCCAUCUGUUGGGAGGGAUCGGAUGGUGUCAUCCUGCCUGGCGGAAUGGGGUUGGACUAGAUGACUUCUGAAGGUCCCCCAGGCAGAAGCUGGAUGGCCAUCUGUUGGGAGGGAUCGGAUGGUGUCAUCCUGCCUGGCGGAAUGGGGUUGGACUAGAUGCCUUCUGAAGGUCCCCCAGGCAGAAGCUGGAUGGCCAUCUGUUGGGAGGGAUCGGAUGGUGUCAUCCUGCCUGGCGGAAUGGGGUUGGACUAGAUGCCUUCUGAAGGUCCCCCAGGCAGAAGCUGGAUGGCCAUCUGUUGGGAGGGAUCGGAUGGUGUCAUCCUGCCUGGCGGAAUGGGGUUGGACUAGAUGCCUUCUGAAGGUCCCCCAGGCAGAAGCUGGAUGGCCAUCUGUUGGGAGGGAUCGGAUGGUGUCAUCCUGCCUGGCGGAAUGGGGUUGGACUAGAUGCCUUCUGAAGGUCCCCCAGGCAGAAGCUGGAUGGCCAUCUGUUGGGAGGGAUCGGAUGGUGUCAUCCUGCCUGGCGGAAUGGGGUUGGACUAGAUGCCUUCUGAAGGUCCCCCAGGCAGAAGCUGGAUGGCCAUCUGUUGGGAGGGAUCGGAUGGUGUCAUCCUGCCUGGCGGAAUGGGGUUGGACUAGAUGACUUCUGAAGGUCCCCCAGGCAGAAGCUGGAUGGCCAUCUGUUGGGAGGGAUCGGAUGGUGUCAUCCUGCCUGGCGGAAUGGGGUUGGACUAGAUGCCUUCUGAAGGUCCCCCAGGCAGAAGCUGGAUGGCCAUCUGUUGGGAGGGAUCGGAUGGUGUCAUCCUGCCUGGCGGAAUGGGGUUGGACUAGAUGCCUUCUGAAGGUCCCCCAGGCAGAAGCUGGAUGGCCAUCUGUUGGGAGGGAUCGGAUGGUGUCAUCCUACCUGGCGGAAUGGGGUUGGACUGGAUGCCCUCUGAGGAUCCCUUCCAGAAAUCUAUGAUUCUAUCUCUUUCUAUAUCUUUUUUUGGAGGUUUCCAAGCAGAAGCUGGAUGGCCAUCUGUUGGGAGGGAUCAAGCAGUGUCUUCCUUCUUGGGGGAAUGGGGUUGGACUGGAUGCCUUCUGAGGAUCCCUUUGAGGAAUCUAUGAUUCUAUCUCUAUCAUAUCUCUUUCUCUGGAGGUUUCCAAGCAGAAGCUGGAUGGCCAUCUGUUGGGAGGGAUCAAGCAGUGUCUUCCUUCUUGGGGGAAUGGGGUUGGACUGGAUGCCCUCUGAGGAUCCCUUUGAGGAAUCUAUGAUUCUAUCUCUAUUAUAUCUCUUUCUCUGGAGGUUUCCAAGCAGAAGCUGGAUGGCCAUCUGUUGGGAGGGAUCAGGCGGUGUCAUCUUGCUUUGCAGAAUGGGGUUGGACUAGAUGCCCUCUGAGGAUCCCUUCCAGGAAUCUAUGAUUCUAUCUAUUUAUCUCUUUCUAUAUCUUUUUCUGGAGGUUUCAAAGCAGAAGCUGGAUGGCCAUCUGUUGGGAGGGAUCAAGCAGUGUCUUCCUUCUUGAGGGAAUGGGGUUGGACUGGAUGCCUUCUGAGGAUCCCUUUGAGGAAUCUGUGAUUCUAUCUCUAUCAUAUCUCUUUCUCUGGAGGUUUCCAAGCAGAUGCUGGAUGGCCAUCUGUUGGGAGGGAUCACGUAGUGUCUUCCUCCUUGGGGGAAUGGGGUUGGACUGGAUGCCCUCUGAGGAUCCCUUCCUGAAAUCUAUAAUUUUAUCUCUCUCUUUCUCUGGAGGUUUCCAAGCAGAAGCUGGAUGGCCAUCUGUUGGGAGGGAUCGGAUGUUGUCAUCCUGCCUGGCGGAAUGGGGUUGGACUGGAUGCCUUCUGAAGGUCCCCCAGGCAGAAGCUAUAUGGCUAUCUGUUGGGAGGGAUCGGAUGGUGUCAUCCUGCCUGGCGGAAUGGGGUUGGACUAGAUGCCUUCUGAAGGUCCCCCAGGCAGAAGCUGGAUGGCCAUCUGUUGGGAGGGAUCGGAUGGUGUCAUCCUGCCUGGCGGAAUGGGGUUGGACUAGAUGACUUCUGAAGGUCCCCCAGGCAGAAGCUGGAUGGCCAUCUGUUGGGAGGGAUCGGAUGGUGUCAUCCUGCCUGGCGGAAUGGGGUUGGACUAGAUGCCUUCUGAAGGUCCCCCAGGCAGAAGCUGGAUGGCCAUCUGUUGGGAGGGAUCGGAUGGUGUCAUCCUGCCUGGCGGAAUGGGGUUGGACUAGAUGACUUCUGAAGGUCCCCCAGGCAGAAGCUGGAUGGCCAUCUGUUGGGAGGGAUCGGAUGGUGUCAUCCUGCCUGGCGGAAUGGGGUUGGACUAGAUGCCUUCUGAAGGUCCCCCAGGCAGAAGCUGGAUGGCCAUCUGUUGGGAGGGAUCGGAUGGUGUCAUCCUGCCUGGUGGAAUGGGGUUGGACUAGAUGCCUUCUGAAGGUCCCCCAGGCAGAAGCUGGAUGGCCAUCUGUUGGGAGGGAUCGGAUGGUGUCAUCCUGCCUGGCGGAAUGGGGUUGGACUAGAUGCCUUCUGAAGGUCCCCCAGGCAGAAGCUGGAUGGCCAUCUGUUGGGAGGGAUCGGAUGGUGUCAUCCUGCCUGGUGGAAUGGGGUUGGACUGGAUGCCCUCUGAGGGUCCCUUCCAACUCUGGGAUUCUUUGUGAUUGGGUCACUUAGUGUUCGUAGUACCAGGAAAGAGGAAAUAAAUGCAUUAAUACACACAGAGAGGGAAUUCCAGUGCGGACUUUGGCACUAUAUUGCAAUGCAUUUUCCCCCACUAAAUAAUAAUAAUAAUAAUAAUAAUAAUAAUAAUAAUAAUAAUAAUAAUAAUAGGAGGGUUCCUUUGAAGAAAUGGUCAUUCUGGCAUCCCUUCUAUUUCCUUUUCCUGACCAUAUCGGGGCGAAUGGGGCAGGAGGUUCGGGGCGCUGUGUGUCCGGUUGCCAAACCCACAAAUUCCCCUUCCGUCCCUUUGUGCUUUCCGUGUGUCAAACCAAACUUAGACAAAUCGAAGCCAGUCUUUCAAGAAAAGAAGUCCGUAUUUGUGUUACUUGACUGAAGCUGUAAAGUAUUUCAAUUUACCUUUAACGCUAUAACCUUUUUUGGGGGAGGGGAUAUAAUGGGGUUCCACGGUGUCUGUAUUUGCGGAGAGAAAAAAGGGGGCAAAUCCUUGCAAAGAUGCUGCUGACCAACUCUUGUAUUUCCUUGCUUCGAGUCGUUCAUGUGCCAACACAACUUCUUCUUUUUUUUCCAGAUACAAAUAUAAAAUAAAAUUUACCAAAAAAAAAUCAGAAAGCUUGUUUGCAGGAAACCUCAUUUGUAGAGUUUGUGUAGAGUUUGUUAGUUUGGGAAUCAUAUUUUGCAAGCAGAAUGCCCAACUCGUUUAUGGACCAUGUUUCGUUUAUAUAAUUUGCAUAUUAUUAUUAUUAUUAUUAUUAUUAUUAUUAUUAAAUCCCAGUUUCCUCUUA